rnacentral:misc_RNA from 1 species
AGCACAGUUCAUAAAUUACGCAAUCUCGACGAAGCGAGUGUCGAAGAAAACUACCGAUGAGCAACGGCGAGAUUGGCAUGGCAUGAUUUUUAAAAAUACGAGAACGUGAACAUCAACGAAUCGUGAACGAAUUGUGAUCGCUUGUGAGGAGUGUGCGAGCUCGUCGUUCUCGAGUUUUCCUCAGCUGUUCGAAUCUCCUUGAAAGCACUGUCGAUCGUUUCAUGAAUGAGUGUCGACCGAGGACUGAACAUGCUGCACAAGCAUGCAAGCAAGUCGCAGCAUAACACCAUGUAUAGACACAGAGGCGCCUUCCUCAAGUCUAUGUCGGAGUUCCCAGUGGAGGGAGGUGAGAACGGAGACAUGCAGACCGUCAUGGAAAACUUUCAGAAGAAGAACAACCUGGUGACCGGUAGGACACAUCAUGUCUCUCAUCAUCCGCAGGUCACCACGUCGUCGCAGAUGCUGACGACGAACCAGAGCCAGCACCAGAGUAGCAGCAGCACUAGCACCAGCACCAGCAGCACGAGCAGCAGGGUGGCCAAGUCCUCGCAGAGGAUCCUCACCUCGUCCUCAUCGAGUGAGAUGAAGGCGAGCUCCAUGAAGAGUGACCUGACAGAACUCAAACGCGGUAUCUCGGAGAUGAAGAACAUCUCGACAAACUUCUCGCAACGGCUGCGGAGUAGCAUGGAGAACCUUGUCGACAGAGACGGCAAUGGACCGGAAGAAGCAGACCUUACGGAGCCACUGGUGACCUUUCCAGAUCCGGAUACGCCGCCACCUGUCAGUGACGCUGUCACGCUGGCAGGUUCUCCGUCCCAAUUGAGUUCUUUGAACUCGUUGAAUAAUCUUCAUCAUGGCAUGAGCCCGCCGAUAAACAUACCGAACAUACCGAAUUUACCUGCCGGUCAAGAAACCAUGAAGUUCGAGCAAAAGAAGAUGACUAGCGCUUCCAAGACGAAGGUCGUCACGGAUGGAUUUAGUGCUGAGAAGGCGACGGCGAACAGCGCCGAGAUGAGGGCCCUGCAAGCUGGCGACGUGUCGUACAAAGAGCAGAGCGCCGCGACGGCGGCGAGGGCGCGUGUCGAGCUCGACGGCGUCUCGGCAGAAAAGAGCGUCGCUGCAGCGAGGGAGCAGAGAAGUUUAAAAGCUGGCGAUCUCUCGCAUCAGGAAAGUAAUAAUAUGGCAGCGUCUACCAUGAAACUUCAGAGCGACUCAUUCACCUCCGAAAAGAAAGCGAUGGCGGCGCAGCAGCAACGGCAGACAGUCACGUCAACCGGCAUUUUCAACCACGAGAAGCACAUGGCAUCAAGUUCGCAGUCGAGCAUUACGAUCGCCUCGAAAUCGGGUGUGAGCUCGUCGAAAUCAAUGAUCAGCGCGGCGAGUGCGGUGAACCAGCUGAUGAACGGCAUGCGACCGCCAACUGCUGAGGACGAGCUUCUGUCAUUGCCGUUGGACGACCUGGAUUUACUCUGCUCCAAGUCGAAUCCGCAGGAUGUGGACUGUGCGAUCAACAAGUAUUGCGGUCUCCUGGACAGCUUUGUGGAGCGACUGAAGGCAAGCGCCGAACAGAGCGGCAGCAAGAGCAAUUGCAAAGCACCUCAGCUACUCAACCGGGUGAACGAAAUCAUCCGGAAAGCGUGGGCCGUGCCGACACACGGCCACGAGCUUGGCUACACCCUGUGCAACACCCUGAGGAACCGCGGCGGCCUCGACCUUCUCAUGUUAAACUGCGUGGCGAACGACGACGAGCUGCAAUUCUCGUCGGCGCGGCUGCUCGAGCAAUGCCUGACGACGGAGAACCGCGCUCACGUCGUGGAGAACGGCCUCGAGAAGGUGGUGAACGUGGCGUGCGUGUGCACGAAGAACGCCAACUCGGUGGACCACGCGCGCGUCGGCACCGGCAUCCUCGAGCACCUGUUCAAGCACAGCGAGGGCACAUGUAGCGACGUGAUUCGGCUAGGUGGUCUAGACGCGGUGCUGUUCGAGUGCCGAAAGAACGACGUGGAGACGCUACGCCACUGUGCUGGCGCGCUCGCCAACCUGUCACUAUAUGGUGGCGCCGAGAAUCAAGAAGCGAUGAUCAAGCGCAAGGUGCCGAUGUGGCUGUUCCCGCUCGCCUUCCACAAUGACGACAACAUCAAGUACUACGCCUGUCUAGCGAUCGCCGUGCUGGUCGCCAACAAGGAGAUUGAAGCAGCGGUCCUCAAGUCUGGCACCCUUGACCUCGUGGAGCCAUUCAUCACGUCGCAUAAUCCGUACGAGUUCGCCAAGUCGAAUCUCGCGCACGCUCACGGUCAGAGCAAGAACUGGCUGGAGCGGCUGGUGCCGGUGUUGAGCUCAAAGCGCGAGGAGGCCCGCAACCUCGCGGCUUUCCACUUCUGCAUGGAAGCAGGCAUCAAGAAGCAGCAGGGCAACACCGAGAUCUUCCGCACGAUCGGCGCGAUCGAGCCAUUGAAGAAAGUCGCCAGCUGUCCGAACGCGAUCGCGUCCAAGUACGCGGCGCAGGCACUCAGGCUGAUCGGCGAAGAGAUCCCGCACAAGCUCAGCCAGCAGGUGCCCCUGUGGUCCACGGAGGACGUACGCGAGUGGGUGAAGCAGAUCGGCUUCGCCGAGGUAGCGUCGAACUUUGUCGAGAGCCGAGUGGACGGCGACCUGUUGCUGCAGCUGACCGAAGAGAACUUGCGCGAAGACAUUGGCUUGACGAACGGCAUCAUGCGACGGCGAUUCUCCCGCGAGCUGCAGAACCUGAAGAAGAUGGCUGACUAUAGCAGCCGCGAUACUGGCAAUCUCAAUAGUUUCCUGCAGUCGAUCGGCCAAGAAUUCUCCAUCUACACGUACAGCAUGCUGAAUGCCGGCGUGGACAAGGACUCGAUACGCAAUCUCUCAGAGGACCAGCUGCUGACCGAGUGCGGCAUCGCCAACAGCAUCCACCGGCUCAGGAUACUGGACGCCAUCAAGAAUAUGCAACACAACCAGUUCAGUUCGUGCGAGUACGAGUCGCCCGACAAGUCGCUCGACGUGUUCGUCAGCUACCGCAGAUCCAACGGCUCGCAGUUGGCGAGUCUGCUUAAGGUACACCUACAGCUGCGCGGUUUCUCGGUAUUCAUUGACGUCGAGCGACUCGAGGCCGGCAAAUUCGACAACAAUCUGCUGCAGAGUAUCAGACAGGCGAAACAUUUCCUCCUUGUGCUGACGCCCCAGGCUCUCGAGAGAUGCAUACAGGACGUCGAGUGCAAGGACUGGGUUCACAGGGAAAUCGUUGCUGCCUUACAAUCGCAAUGCAACAUAAUCCCGAUCAUCGACAAUUUCAUGUGGCCGGAGCCUGAGGAACUUCCCGAGGACAUGCGAACAGUCUGUCAUUUCAACGGUGUCCGCUGGAUUCACGACUAUCAAGACGCCUGCGUAGACAAAUUAGAAAGGUUUAUGCGAGGCGAGUUACCCAUGAGAUCUGAACUGUCUGGCGGAAUUCCGCGCAGCAUGGCGCCCAAGGACGUGGUCCAGCCUAACACACCGAGUAACACGAAUAUACGACAACAGCCCAGCUAUCAGCGGAUGCAUAGCAACGAAAGCAGGGGUAGCGACAAGGAUUCCACGGGCGGGCGAGACUGACUAGACGGCCCGCCCACAGCCAUACCGAGCAGCCAAGAUUGCGAAUCGCGCUAUGACAAUCACGACUAGGCUUAGAAAGUCGUCAAGUCCGUCCCGUUGGUUGAUGGGCCUACCGCCCACGUCGCCGCGCUUUAAGUUCGUGCAUACACAUCCGGUGAAUGCCGGCAACAGC